GUUUGAUCCUGGCUCAGAGCGAACGCUGGCGGCGUGCUUAACACAUGCAAGUCGAACGAGGUCUGUAGCAAUACAGAUACUCGUGGCGAACGGGUGCGUAACACGUGGAUAACCUUCCUUCAGGUGGGGAAUAACCCAGUGAAAAUUGGGCUAAUACCGCAUAACAUGACGAUGCCACAUGGUGUUGUCUUCAAAGGCGCAAGUCGCCAGAAGAGGGAUCCGCGGCCGAUUAGCUAGUUGGCGAGGUAAUGGCUCACCAAGGCAAUGAUCGGUAGCCGGACUGAGAGGUUGGCCGGCCACACUGGAACUGAGACACGGUCCAGACUCCUACGGGAGGCAGCAGUGGUGAAUCUUGCACAAUGGACGAAAGUCUGAUGCAGCAACGCCGCGUGGGGGAUGAAGCUUUUCGGAGUGUAAACCCCUUUCGACCCGGAAGAAAGCCCGCAAGGGUUUGACGGUACGGGUAUAAGAAGCCCCGGCUAACUACGUGCCAGCAGCCGCGGUAAAACGUAGGGGGCCAGCGUUGCUCGGAAUUACUGGGCGUAAAGGGUCCGUAGGCGGUGUGGCAAGUUGGUAGUGAAAUCUCUGGGCUUAACCCAGAGGCUGCUGCCAAAACUGCCAUGCUAGAGUGUGAGAGAGGCGAGUGGAAUUACGGGUGUAGCGGUGAAAUGCGUAGAUAUCCGUAGGAACAUCCGAGGCGAAGGCGGCUCGCUGGAUCACAACUGACGCUGAGGGACGAAAGCUAGGGGAGCAAACAGGAUUAGAUACCCUGGUAGUCCCAGCCCUAAACCAUCAGGACUUGGGGUGUGCCCUGUACGGGGCACGUCCCGUAGCUAACGCGUUAAGUCCUGCGCCUGGGGAGUA
rnacentral:rRNA from 1 species